AGCUGGUAGGGAAGUAGCUUUAGAAGGCUGAGGAAGUAGUAAAGAGGGCAGUUCUUUCUCCUUAAUCUUCAAUGAAGAAAGAUCUUCAUAUGGCCUUGGAGAGUCUAGAUCUUUCAGAUCUAGAUCCAUAAAGGCCUAAAACCCACAAAGAGACCAAAGAAGCAAGUAGACAACACCUAGAAGUAAAUAAAUUGUCAAUGAAAAAUGAACCAAAGAAACUCUAACUGUUUCACCAA
rnacentral:lncRNA from 1 species